rnacentral:rRNA from 1 species
GACGAACGCUGGCGGCGUGCUUAACACAUGCAAGUCGAACGAAGUGGCGAACGGGUGAGUAACGCGUAAUCAACCUGCCCUUCAGAGGGGAACAACAGUUGGACACGACUGCUAAUACCGCAUACUGAAGGAGGGGAUUGCGUCUGAUUAACUCGUUGGAGGGGUAACGGCCCACCAAGGCGAUGAACAGUAGGCGGUCUGGGAGGAUGAACGGCCACAUUGGGACUGAGGAACGGCCCAGACGCCUACGGGGGGCAGCAGGGGGGAAUCAUCCGAGAUGGACGAAAGGCUGACGGAGCAAAGCCGCGUGAGUGAUGACGGCCUUCGGGGUGUAAAGCUCUGUUAAUCGGGACGCGGUACCGGAAUAGAAAGCCACGGCUAACUACGUGCCAGCAGCCGCGGUAAUAC